AACGAACGCUGGCGGCGGGCCUCAUACAUGCAAGUCGAGCGCGAAAGUCCGCAAGGAUGAGUAAAGCGGCGCACGGGUGAGUAACACGUGGAUAAUCUACCCUUUGGAUUGGAAUAACCUGUCGAAAGACGGGCUAAUGCCAAGUAAGCUUACGAGUUCGUGAAGUUCUUGUAAGGAAAGAUGGCGCAAGCAAUCGCCGAAGGAUGAGUCUGCGUCCCAUUAGUUAGUUGGUGGGGUAAUGGCUUACCAAGACAAUGAUGGGUACCUGGUCUGAGAGGAUGAUCAGGCACACUGGAACUGAAACACGGUCCAGACUCCUACGGGAGGCAGCAGUAGGGAAUAUUGCGCAAUGGACGAAAGUCUGACGCAGCCACGCCGCGUGAGUGAGGAAGGCCUUCGGGUUGUAAAGCUCUGUCAUUCGGGAAAAACAGCCAGUCGGGGAAAGUUCGAUUGGUUUGAUGGUACCGAAGGAGGAAGCACCGGCAAACUCUGUGCCAGCAGCCGCCGUAACAC
rnacentral:rRNA from 1 species